GCUUCCUCUGCCAAGAAUGAACGCAGCUGCUUAACUAACAAUCAUAUGAAAGUAAUUACUGAUGUGCUGUGUGGUGUGCAUGUGCAUCUCAACUGAGAAUCUGCUCAUUAUUUUUUGGGCCCCACUAUAUCCAUAAUUGAAAGCAGGAGUAGGGUUGGAACAUGGGAGAAGGAUGCAAACUCAAGGAGGAGGAGAGUAGAGAGGUAUGGGCCAGUAGGCCACCCACAAUAAAGCCAAAGGCUUCAAAUUCAAACAAGAAAGGAAAAAAAAAUGUGCUCAGCAAUCAGCUUCAAUGGAACAGGACAUGAGGGGGGAGGCCCAAGAAAUGUGAUACUGAAAAAGAAAAAGGGGGAAAAAAUUUACAGCCAGGUGAAGAGAGUUUAAGCUACCUGAUCGUCACUUCCACAUCCACCAAGGCCUUCUUCUGAUUGACGGUGUAUCCAGAACAUGUGAUUCUUGAGGAGGACAUCAUAUCGAUCGAGCUAGAAAUUGUGCUCAGCCGGCAGGAACACUGACCUGGAGGCAAAUCUCGCAGACAACGCUUCCCUUCUCGUCGCACCAUCUCUGUAUGCAUUCCCUGUGAGCAAACUGGAAUCGAACGCAAGAUCAGACCUUUACGCACAAACCGCCGUCGCGAUCGCGCGAGAAGACGAGAAGGGAAGGAAAGGCCUGACCUUGAGCGUGCCGGAGCAAGCGCAGGGGGAUUCCAUGGCAGUCGACCGUUCUUCCUCUUCCUCGUGGCAAAUCCUGCAGAGGCACACGGUAACGGCAGCGGCGGCAGCAGGAGAGCAAACGGAAUCCUGUUGAUGAAGAUGAUGGUGAUCAUCUAUCAGAAAUCUAAUCUCUUCUCGCCCUGCAAACUCCAUCCCUCUCGUUCCUUCUCCCCUUUUUUUUUUCCAGUAAAUUAAAUCGGUAGCCUGUUCUUGGUGCUGGAAGAUAUAAAUAAGGAUGGGAAAUCGGAGGGAGAAAAGGACGGAUAUGUCCUCAUCAAUCGGCAAGCGAGUAGAUAGAUAGAGGAAGAUGAAGAGAGUCUCGUGUUGUUGGUCUACGAUUGGAACUUGGAUUUGGAUUGAUAAACAGUUGAGAGUCUGACCACCAAAGUUGAAAUUGAAAUGUUCCAAGUUGUAUUGUU